rnacentral:rRNA from 1 species
GACGAACGCUGGCGGCGUGCUUAACACAUGCAAGUCGAACGGAAAGGCCCUGCUUUUGUGGGGUGCUCGAGUGGCGAACGGGUGAGUAACACGUGAGUAACCUGCCCUUGACUUUGGGAUAACUUCAGGAAACUGGGGCUAAUACCGGAUAGGAGCUCCUGCUGCAUGGUGGGGGUUGGAAAGUUUCGGCGGUUGGGGAUGGACUCGCGGCUUAUCAGCUUGUUGGUGGGGUAGUGGCUUACCAAGGCUUUGACGGGUAGCCGGCCUGAGAGGGUGACCGGCCACAAUGGGACUGAGAUACGGCCCAGACUCCUACGGGAGGCAGCAGUGGGGAGUAUUGCACAAUGGGCGGAAGCCUGAUGCAGCAGCGCCGCGUGCGGGAUGACGGCCUUCGGGUUGUAAACCGCUUUCGCCUGUGACGAAGCGUGAGUGACGGUAAUGGGUAAAGAAGCACCGGCUAACUACGUG